CUGGCAGGCAAGCCAGUAGCACAGGUGGAAGGUAGCCCAGGUGAGCUGUUUUUAGGGGAAUGGGAGCAUCUUCCGCCUGCUUUAAAAAGGGACUGGUGUGAGCUAUAAGGGAAGGGGGUGGCUUGGGGUAAGACAGAGGGGUUUGGGGAAAGCUGUGAGUGGAUAGGCAAAGGGGUAGGUGAGGUAUAAAUGAAGAGCUGUUUGGUCAGGUGUAAAGGGAGAAGGAGCUAGGAGUGGGGGGGAAAGGAGGCCCAUCUUCCAGGUCCGCACUGCCAUGUGGGAUCACUCUUUUUCGAGCUGUGCUUUUUCAGGUGCAGCACCCAAAAACACACAUUUGGGGUGCCCUGCCUGAAAAAAGUGCAGCCCAAAAUCACCCGUUUUUACCGGGACAGUUGACGGGUAUGAAUGCAUCAGAACAAUAUGACAAUAUUUGAGUCCUGAAAUAUUGGACUCAAACAGCCUCAAGCUCGCAGUAAAGCCCAGAGUGGAUACCAUUAUCUUGAGAAGUGACAUUCCCAACUGUUAUCACAGUUUCAUAGAGUUAAAACGACAUAUAAUGUUAAAUACAUCCUGGGGUAGCUCAGUUGGUAGAGCAUGAGACUCUUAAUCUCAGGGUCAUGGGUUUGAGCCCCAUGUUGGGGAAAAGCUUCCUGCAUUGCAAGGGGCUGCGCUAGAUUAUGUUUGUGGCCUCUAUGGCUGUUACUGUUUUUCUUGUGAAAAACAAACUGUAUUUACUGAUUUCAAAUUUACCUUCAGAGCUGUGUGUUUCUUUUAAACAGUCUCGUUCCUUUAGCAAACAGCAUUUUGUGGGGGAGAGGGAUUAUUGAGACUGUGGUGCAGAAAAACAGGUUGUGUACCAUGUGCAGCCCCAAUCCUGAUCUACCCCGCUCUCGGUUAAAAGCCAAAAGAGACCUAAAACAAAUGCAAUUAUGCAUUUCAUGUAACUUGUAAUUGGUGCAUGUACUUUAUUUUUUUGUAUUUCAAAUACUGAUUCUCCUAAAGCAUACUGACUCUCCUUAAAACUGCUACACAUGCCAGGAAGGAAAAUCUUUACUAUACGGUUAUCCAAAAGUUGUCCCCUUAACACUUCUGUUUCAGCUAUGGGACUUCAUUUUCUACUCCAGUCUUUGUGCCCCACUUCAAAAACUCAUAUACAGGAACCCCCAGAACAGUUUGGGGAAGUGGGGAUAGAGAAGAUGGAAAGCAAAUACCAUUGUGCAGGUGAACAGGGACAGUUUUGUUGUAUACGAUCCAUAGCUACAUUUUCUGUAUGUUCAAUAAUUUCCAAAAAGCCCCAAUUUAAUACAUGCAUUCUGCCCUUCUUCUAAUUUCUGCAAUGUAUAAGCACAAAAAAAUUGCAGACUCUAAAUGGCACCAAUCAUAUAAUGUUUGCCAUUUGUUUGCCUUAUUAAAAAGGAAAAAAGGAAAAGAAAAUCUGCAUAGUUUCAAGUGACCUGAAGAGAUGGAGAAAAAUGAUAUAUAAAUACAAUUUGAAUCUAAUGCUGUUCUCACAUUUGUGCUGAUGCUUUUCUAACUUUUCUUUUUGGCGAUUCCAUCCAGCUGUGGCAAAUUGUUUUGAAAGGCACCUUUGUUCGUAAUUGGAUUUUGAUAGAAAAAGUUGACUGUAAGAACUCUGAGCAUGAUAAGGCAAGGAAGAAGCAACAUGGGCAUUGUUGAAAAAGUGUUUAGGGGCUCUUUUUCAGAGGCUCUCAGCAAAUGAAAUACACUGCUAUGGGUACUCAGAACCUUUGGAAAACAAAUUGUUGAACCUAUGUGUUGCUUUGAUGACUAAAAAGCAAUUCCAUUUUUCCCAUUCAGAAGGAAAACAAAUCAGUCUGCCAUGAAGAUGUUUGCAUAUAAAGUCCUAUUGCUUGUACUGUCAAUUUCUCCUGGCAUCCCAUAAAAAGUAUGUUUUAUAAAGUAACUCAGAGCCAUAUCAAAAGAGCGGCAAACAAGAAUAGGCUUCUUUGGGAAUUGCCUCACGUUUGUUUUUCUUCUGCCCACUGGUGUGCUACUGUGUGCCAAUUCUGUUAAAUGCCAAAAUAAAUCACCAUUAAUGAUGUAUGUUGUGCAUGCCAGGCAACGACUGGCAUUUUAAUCACCUAAAUAAAAGUCAAGCUAAAGAUGAGCAUAAAAAACAACUCUAAAACCGAGUGUAAUGACUGUUUGUCAGAGUAAUGUUGCAAUACUUUGCACUCUUCCUUCAGAGUAACUCAGUGGAAAUUAUGUGCAGGAUUAGGCGGCAUGUCUUCAAUCAUUAACAUGCCAACAUGGAACCAAAUCCCAACAAUAUAACUUACUUCCAAGUAAACCUAGGGUGAUUAAAGACUGUUGCAGCACAAUGAAUUCAGUUUCAACUUAAAAAUGAUUGAUUCUGUUUAAUCCUAUAAAAGUAUAACAAGAGUGCAUACAGGAGAUCACUAAACUAAAAUUAGUUGUGCUCGUCCUUAACAACUUUGCUGUUGUUGUUAUAAUACGGAAGCCUCUUGUACCAACGUGCUUAAUUCAGCUAACACUCUCUACAUGCCCCUGAAGCUUCACUCUAGAUUGCACAAAGGAAGAAGCAAACUGUAGUGUACUUGACUCCAUUGAAAGGUGGCUACUAACGCUCAUGGAUUACUAGUGCAAUUGUUUUAAGUCUAGCAGUGUUAUUUUGUAAUAACUGAGCCUCUGAACUAUCAAGGAUGUUCCAUGUACAAUGCAUUGCAGAAAUUCAGACAUGACAGCCAGGCCAUCACUGCCUAGGAAAGUCUGUAGCUGGUACACCAGCAGCACCCAUUGAAAGUGUUUCAUGUCACUAUGGCCAGUUCAAUUUCCAGAGUUACCUGUGCUAAAUGCUAAUGUACCGUUUUCCACUGUACUGAAAGUUGAGCUCCAACAGACUCUUACUGUCUUUGUAGCUCUGUAAGGGAUAAACUACAACCCCACAAAUACUUUAGGAGGCGGGAAUGUACUUUAAAGAUAUACUGUGUAUGCAGUCUCCACCAGCUCUUCCAACAACUUUUGGAUCCUCCUCUCAUUGGAUUUUAUCUAUUUGGGGUGGUCAUUACAAGAACUUUGUAACUAAGAAUUAGAGUCCAGGUUUGCCUUCCCACCCUACCAAGCCCUUUUCAUAUGCCACCCACUACUGGGCUAAUAACGAUACGUCCAAAUAAUAAUAAUAAUAAUUCACCAAUAGCUAUUUAACAUAGACCACUUAAUUUUAUCCUAGAAGAAAUAACUCCAACCUAAAUGGUCUUACCAAAGAAGGAACUAUUGCCUUUAUUCCACACUACUGCUUCCCAAAGUUCUGCUACUGGAAUCAUAGGGGAACUAGUUGACCCAUUUUGCACUGAGUUCCUUGGAAAAUGAACUGUAUGUCAUACAUUUAAAUAAUUAAUUCAACAGGUGUUCUUAGUAAGGAAGUGUACUAUUAAAAGCACUAAAAUCUUUCUUGCAGAACAUGGAUCUCCAUUUUCAGCUGCUUCUUUUUUGAGCUACACACUUUGAAAGCUUGAUACUUGCAUAGUUUUCAUGAAAUAUGUACAGUACCCCUAACUUCCCUGCAAAACAUGAUACACUAUAUAUAGCACCCAGUCCUUGUAAAAGGAAUUACCUGACAUUAAUUUAGUCUUCAAGGAGGCAUUUAGUGAUAUAUUCCCAAAGAAACUUAUGCAAACGUAGUAUUUCAGAAAUCACCUUAUUUAUAUUACAAGUGAAAGCAGAGGAAAUAAGAAGAGGGAAAGCAGUUACAAGAGGAAGAGUUAUAGACGCAAGAUAGUGGGAUCAACAAAUGAACUCAACUCACCACUCAUUCUUCCAGAAAACAUGCCAGAUCAUGAAAUGUCUCACAUCUUCCUUAUAUGUCAUGAGAAUGACAUAUACGUAAAAGCCUUUGAUAUGAUAAGCACCAUGCAGAAUACUUAUAUGCAAGCAGCCUACUGUACGAAGUUACUUUGUCAAAUGAGGCUAUUAUGCAUAAUGUUCACAGUGUGGGAUAAAUGGAAUUUAAAUAGCAGAAGCACAUAUUGAGUUAUUGGGUAUCUCCUUGUCAGACUAGGACGUGAUUUCAUUUUGCUGCUACACUGAAGUCACACACAAUAACAAAGCGAGAGCCCAUCUCAGCCUAGCAAUUCAUACUUGUCAGGCCUCUUCUCUCUGUGGUGUACAGAAAGUCCCAUUUCGCUGCAGCACAUCCACCAUCAGUUGUCAUGAAACUCAAUCACAAUCUAAACAAAAUGAGAGACUUAACAUCACAGAAGAGACAGUGGGCUCUGUACAUAGCUUUGUUAUUUUGUCUCUUCCAAGUUCCUCAAAAACAAUUCUGAAAAUCUGACAGAUUCCUCUCCUCUCCAAUAAGCCCACCCCCCAGCCUGUAAAAGCUGCUUCAGACUGCCCUCCAACCCUCCAGAGCAGAUUUUGAGGGGGUUGCAGGGAUGAACAGAUGAGGGUUCAGUCCUAGUGCAUGAGUGGAAGUCUGUUCUGCUCAUUCCUGGGUAGCAUUAGAUAAACUAUACUAGUUCAUAUGAGAAUGCUAUUUUAUUAAGUAAUUCCUGGUCUGCUUAGACAUUAAUUCCUUGAUUAAAAAGCCCUUGCCACAGUGUUUUGCAAAUUACAUGGUGGCAACUUAGGUAGCCGAUACAGCAGCUGCAGCAUUGUUGUUUUUGGGUGAAGACAAAGGCAAAGUAGGUGUUGAGCAGUUCCACCUUCUCUCCUUCUUCUUUCUCAGUAGGUGGAAGUGUGACUAGGCAGGCCCUCAAGCUGCUGUACCUUCUUUUCUAGCAAGGCAUCUGCUGCAGGACUAGUUUUGUAUAACAUCCUGAUCCUAUGUCUACUCUGAGACAGCACCCCGGGACUCUCCCUCAAACUUCCUCACUAAACGCCCUCACAAAUGCCUCUGUUUACAACCACAAUGAUAAUGGUAAUAAUUGUAUCAUUUAUCCCCCACCCAUCUGGCUGGGUUUCCCCAGCCACUCUGGGCAGCUUCCAGCACAUUAACAAAUGUAAGUCCUAGUCACAAGUUGCAAUCAGCUAAAUAGAACUCCUACUGAUUGUUAACGCUUCCCCCAAUUUUUAGAGGAAUAGAAAGCUACUGUAACACACACACACAUUUUAAUUCUUGUGGUUUACAAAAAACAGAGCAGUAUGUAUACAACCAGUAAAUCAGUAAUGCAUCAAACCAUUAACACAAAAACAAUUAUCUAUAACUGAUAUAACUUAUAUUGGUUUAAACUUUACACUGUUAGCUGUUCUGUAUUUGUGUAUAUUCUUUCAACCUAAAUGCAGGUUAUAAAUGAAUUAACAAUGCUAAUAAGUAAGUAGAUACAUUUCCGACCAGCUACUAAUCUCAUCUCGUUCUUUGCCUGGAGUGGAUUUCUAACCUAGAAAUACUGUGCUCAUAGUUCAAAUAUUUUUCAUUGUUUGGUUAAGAGUUCACAUUUCUACAAAGACUGAAAGGCCCAUUUCUCUGUAGCUUAUAUUAUCUGAUUAUUUAACUGCCUUUCUCCUAGCCUACAGAUACUAUCUUUCAAGGCUGCUUCACACUGUCCAUUCUUUAAGUGAACAGCUUUUGCCUUCAACCCCAGACUUUUCAAACAUAAGGUUAGGAGCUUAGUUCUUUAUUACUCCUGUGAUGCCAUUAAGGUUCCACUUGCCUCACACAAAAAGACAUCCACCCUUAAUUUUUCAAACUAAUAGCAUCUAGAAAGCUGUGUAUUUUCUCUUACUGAGAAAAUAGGCUUCCCAGAGCAAUUGGGACUAGAAGUAAAUUGUUGGAAUUUAUCUCCCAGCAUCCUUUGGCAUAUCCAUUGUGCACUAUUCGGCUGUGGAAGAAUUUAUGCAGUAUCAGCUUUAAUUCAUUUUGGGCUGGACUGAACACAGUCUGCUAAUUUAGCUCAUCAAACAAAUCUACAUUGAAAACAUACUAUUACUAUGACUACAAAAUUGUUCAGUGUUGGGAGUGUUAAUCUGACUCAGCAGUUUGUAAUUUAAGCAAAUGUCAACUAUAUAUACAAAUAUAUAUAGUUUAAUGAAAAGUCCUGAUGUGUGUUGUGGUCAUUGAAAAUAUGUAACAGUAGAUUUGAAGAAUUUUGCUUUCUUUGAUCAGAAAAUAAAAAUGAUAAGUGGUUUAGUGAAUGAAAGAAAAUCACGGGAGAAAACAACAUACUCACAUUUAUCCAAUUUCAAAUUACAUAAAUUAUUCUUCUUUAAAAGCUGUCACUGUUGAAAGCAAUGUAUUAACUUUUUCCACCAGCCAGAGACUGGAAGAUGACAUUAUUUUACACUUUGUUACUUUUUAUUUCUAUGGUGAAACUUUAGCAUCAAGACCUCUGUGUGUUUGGAAUGUUCAAUAUGCCAGACUAGAAAGCAUUUUUAAAUUUGCAUGGCUACUCAUCAAUGCAAUUCUCUAGACAGGUUACAAAUGGUGUCUGUCUGUCGAUAGACAGUAUUUAAUCUGUGGCAUAACUUCAAUGUGACUAUACGCAGAAGAGAACACCAGGUUUAUCAAAGGUGGUGUAGAGACACUUCAGAUCUAAGACUGCAGUUAUAUACACACUCAAAAGCAAGUAAGUGUGAUCAAACUCAAACUUAUUUCGGAGUAGAUAUGUAGAGGAUUAUGCCAAUUCACACAUGACCUAGUGACUUAUUUUCUCCAGAUACACUUUCCCCCCAUUCAUGUCCCACGUAUGAAACUGCAUGGGGGCGGGGUAUCAAGAGUGAAAAGAUACUGCUAGUAUACAGCUUAAUGAUAUAUCCAUUUACUGCCCAGAUUUCACAGUCAUGUUCUUUAUGUGAUUCCACACGAGGCAGGGUUGGGAAGAGAAAAUGAGUAACCAUCUUGAAUACAUGAAUCAGAUUAUAUAAUCUUAAGAAGAAAGAAAGCUGGCAAACUAUGCUCCACUACUACACUACCUAAAUGUAAUAUAGACUCAUUAAAUCCUAUUCACGUAUAGUCAAAUCACAUACAGUGGUGCCUCAGGUUACAUUCGCUUCAGGUUACAUAUGCUUCAGGUUACAGACUCCACUAACCCAGAAAUAGUGCUUCAGGUUAAGAACUUUGCUUCAGGAUGAGAACAAAAAUCGUGCUCCUGUGGCGCAGCAGCAGCAGGAGGCCCCAUUAGCUAAAGUGGUGCUUCAGGUUAAGAACAGCUUCAGGUUAAGUACAGACCUCCGGAACAAAUUAAGUACUUAACCCGAGGUACCACUGUACAGUAGCGUUUCUCACUUAGUUACGUCCUAGCAUUCAUCCAUGUGAGCAUCAGUCCUCACACUGGCCUUUUUUCAGCUGCAACACUAAACUAUGGUUAGCAUUAUGGGAGGAAGCCUUGGGCUAUAAAGACUCCCCUUCCCUUCUGAUAAACUUCCUCAGCUUAUCACAGUUAAGUAUUAUGUUCAAAACAGAUCAACGACUAAACCUGUUAGCAUCCAAGCUCAUUUCCUUUGGGGAUUUUAUUAUUUCUUUCAAGCAGCAUCUGGUUGGAAAUCAAAGUUUUUAUUAACAACAAAUGCUAUACCGUGACUAUUCAGUUUAUCCUGUAUUUAUUUUUUUAUCUUCGGCAGAUGGUUGUAAAACUAUUAGCAUUUGUUCUUUUAAAAACAUUCUGGAGGGAUCAAAUAAUACAGACAAGUAAAUACAAGGAGCAGUCAAGCAACUGUAAGUGGUUGAUGAGGAUACAAAUAAUCAGCUUAAUUUAAAAUUGGGCUUUACUUCAGCCCUGUAAGUGGGUAAUGCUCAUUUGGUGUAUACCAAACCACAAAGCUACUAAUCUCGCUACUUUCAAAAUGCAAAACAAAUGAUCUACAGGUGCUGAGCAACAGGUUUUGAAAAAGCAACAGCUCACCUGAUGUCAGUGGGAAGCUCCAAAAAAUUAUCAGAAGUUAGUACAGAGUGGCUUGGCAGCUGUUACUCUUAAUUCAAUAGCUUCUGGGAAUGCUGAAGCCUCAUUGAGACAACUUCUUUUUUUAGAGGGGAGUCUGCCCUAUAGGUCCUCCUACUUCUUUAAACUUACCAUUUUAUAUUUAGGUAAAGGUAAAGGAACCCCUGACAGUUAAGUCCAGUCGAGGGCGACUCUGGGGUUGCGGCACUCAUCUCACUUUCAGGCCGAGGGAGCCAACAUUUGUCUGCAGACAGCAUGUGGCCAGCAUGACUAAGCCGCUUCUGGCGAACCACAGCAGCACCAAAGCUGUCAACCUUCCCAUUUUUGGCAGGAAAUUCCAUUAUUUCAGCGCCGUUUCCCGCUGCUAUCCUGGAUUGUUAAAUAUCCCAUAGACUAUCUCUGGGAAAGGUGAGGCUGCUGAUCCCUUAUUUUCAAAUCCGAAAGUUGACAGCUAUGCUGCUGAUCCUUUAUUUUCAAAUCUGAAAGUUGACAGCUAUGAGCAGCGCACAGAAACACCGUUCACCUUCCUGCCGGAGUGGUACCUAUUUAUCUAUUUGCACUUUGAUGUUUUUUCAAACUGCUAGGUUGGCAGGGCAGGAACCGAACAAGGGGAGCUCACCCCGUCACAGGGAUUUAUUUUAUUUCCUUAUGGAAUGUAUUAUUCACUUUAUAUUCCAGAAAAUUCAAAGUGAUGUUCAGAAAGUCUUUAUAUGUAAUUUAAUGCUUGAAAAUAGAUAAGAAGCAUGGCUGUGACCAUCUCUCUGGAAAGGCUUGUCUAGAUAUGUAAUAGGCACAAAGAGACCGAUAUGAUUGGUGCUUGUCUAAUUUGUACAGGGUGGAAAUUUCUAUACAACUGGUAUUGCAAUGCUAAAGGUCUGGUUUUGACUUGUUAUGGAGCAGAUGUCCUAGGCACCAUUGGAAGAGCUUCCUGUGAUGAGCACAGCUGUCAAACAAGUAUAUAGGGGGUGAGAUUAUCUUUCAAACAACCUCGUGUUGAAUUGUUUCAGGCCCCUUGCUAAAACUUUAUAUUUGGUCCAGAGAAAUAUUUGCAGCUACUGUAGGUUGUUCAGUCAUAGUUUUAUAUACUAGGAGUAGUCUAUUCCACUUCAACCUACCUUUUUUGCACAAACUGAAGCUUCCAGGCUAACCUUAAGGGCAUCAAGAGUAUUGAACUAAUUGAGUAUUGAGGUUAACCUCUGCAAACUUUGAUAGGUGUCCAUCACCUGGCAUCCUGAUGACAUCAGGUGGUAGACAGAUGGGUGGUCCUGUCCACCCAUCAAAGCUAGUCCACCAGAAGGGGGCAAAGUAGGGAUCUGAUUUGAUCUAGUCCUUUACCCCCUGUGCAUUUUUUUAAGAUAACAUUUUAUUUUUGCUUCUUUUAGAAGAAUUACAUUGUGUGGAAAAAUCCAAUCAUAAUUUCCCAUGCAACAUCCAGUUAAGUUCUCAGUUUGUUCACAGCAACCAAAUUACAUUUGUCAUUCAGCAAAAAAAAAAAAAAGCCAGCCAUACAAUUAUAUGAUACCUACAUGUCCAUGAACUGAUUAAUUCUAUAGAGGAAAUGUUUUCAUUCUGUCAUUGUCCACUUUCUCAGUAACUUCCCUGAAUUGCUGAAUAUAACUGAAAAUAAACUCUGAAAUAAAAGCAAAGAAAUUGCAUUGCAUUCAAUUUAUGUAAGGCAUUAUUUAGCUUAAAACUGAUAUAAAAACCCUGCAUGUUUACAAUAUCCUAUCAGAAGGCUUGAAAGCAUGAAUGAAAUAGCACAUCUUAAGUAUGUGGAUUUUGUGGCAUUAUUGAUACCAGCCCUCCCACCCUUUUUUAUUUCCCAAGGAGUGAAUUAUAGUUGUAUAAACUCAGCCUCACACUAAAUGCUGGCUCCUGCUGGAAAGAAAGCAGUAAGACUGCAGAAAGCUCUUUCUCCUAGCCAGAGGCUAUCAAGCUGCUAAAGUAUUCAGCAGUCAGCUGUGGCAUGCAAAUGAGAGGAAACACCUGCAAAAGCAACAUCAACCCCUGGUAAUACCAGAAAGAUUCCUACAAGGGGUAUCAUGUGGGAUGAUCGGAAGUGCACAAAAUAAUCUCUCCACUAACCUGUCUGCAGACCCAAAAAUGUAAUUUUCUCAAUCUGAAAGUGUUCAUACUUGUCCUCAACACACUACUUUUGACCUACAUUGAUUCUGGACCCUGUCAUCCACAAGUUGGUGAGGUUACUUGAUAUGUGUCUGAAAAUUAUCCCCUUAAUUAGGUUACCCAUACCUUUUCCUCCCUGCACAUGCCCCAUGUGAAUGAAGAAAGAAGCAGUGGUUGUGAUCUUGCCCACACACAGCACCAUUGGACAGGUGUGGAUACACAUCCCCCACUGCCAGGACCACCUGUGUUUUCUAAUAGACACACUGCUGGGUAAUGCAGAAUCAAUCUGCAAUCAGCUUUUAGUUUGAAUUCAAACCAGGUUCUCAAGAAGCACAAAGAUAUGCAAUAAAUCUUGAUUUUGUGUGCAGACUAUGGAGAAAAAAACAAGUACUCCAUUGAGUCUAGAAUAAAGUGUUGUGUGUACAUAGCCCUUAUGUGUUCUCUCUCUUUUUUAAAUAGAGAAGAGAUAUACAUCCAACAGCAAAGGGCCAAUUUUGUAUGCAGAAGGCCACAGAUUCAAUCAAAAGCAUCAUCAGGUAAGGGAUUUCAGAUAGUGUGGAAGGGAAAUAUCUCACUCUGCCCAAGACAAUGGGGACCUGCUGACAUUGAGAUUAGAUAGUGCUGGGUUAGAUGAACAUAUGAAGUGACUUGGUAUAAGGCAUUCAUUUAUGUUCCUUUGUUCAAGUGGACAGAGCCACCACCACCACCAAAAAACAGGAAAUUAAUCUUCCAUUUCAUUUUCUUCCAUUGCAUGACUUUCACAGAUACAAGAGGAGUAAAGGACUAGUCAGCUAGUGUAAAAGAGCACAAGUAGACUUCCAACUAAUUCUCACAAAAUCAAGAGAAUACUCUCAAAAUCAAAACUCAUCUAUAACUCCUAAAUACAGAAAAGGAAAAAGGGGCCACAUAAAAAGACAAAGACAUGAUUAGAAUAAGGAACAACAUUAUGAGUAUUGUUAAGCACCGAAAUAUCUCUUAGCUAGAUGAAUAAGCAAUUUUUAAAAGAAAUAUUAAGCAAACAAGUUGAGGCACCCAACAGCAAAUGACCAAGAACCAUGAUCUAUUUAAGGGAUGGGUUUGAGGGUUGGGGAGUGGAGAGCUAAUCUCAUUUGGGAAAAAUUUCCUCCCAUCCCCAAACAAGUGGAUUAGACAAACCUUGGGUAUGCAGAAAGCUUCAUUCACCAUUUUACUCCACUCAUUGAUGGGAGACUGCUUUCUUAGUCCUUUAAGCACCAGUCCAAUGUGACCAAUACCCCUGGAGCCAUCUUUGAGGGUUAGUGUUUCUCUCCCCUUCCAGGAUUACAAAUAACUCUCACUGACUUCAGUGGGAGUUACUUGUAUCUGCCAGGGGAGAAUCAUGAUGGAGUGUGCAAGGAAGCAUUCUGCCCUUAAAAAUGUCAAAAAUCAUUAGGAGUGACUGCGCAGCAUGAGCAGGAAUCAAUAUUAGAGAAGACAGGAGUAAGCAAAUGAGACAGGAAGUGGAGACUGUUAAAGGGAAACCUAGAAGCAAAAUAGAAACCUGUGGGGGAGAGAAAGAUAUUGGCCCAGGGAUAAAAAUAUACGCAGGGGAAGGAGGAGGAAAAUGAAAAUAAAGAGAGAAAUGAGACACUAACAAGCCUCAGCAGCAAAAGAGGGGGAAGAAAAUGGCCUUUGCAAGGGAUUAAACAGAAGGAAAACAGAUUGGAUUAUAAUUCUGAAGCUAUAUUGUAGCAAUGUGAUUAGGAUUUUAAUUUAUUUUUGUAUGUUAAUAUACAAGCACUGUAAUAUAAAUGUAUACCAUGUAUCAUAUUUACAUGUGAAAACUGGAAGUUACAUUAACUAUACAUUUCAUAGGUAAUGUACUAUACAGUUCCAAAUUCAGUCAGUUUAAAGCAUUUGCAUACUUGGUUUUUGCUUAAGAGAAAUUAUUCCAGUUCAAGCAGCAUUUCACCAUCAACUAAAAAAGAUUUUUUUCAUAUGUACAUUUCCACUUCAUACCUCAGCAUUUAAGACCUACUAUUUGAAUGGGUUUGUCAAUGCAAGUCAUUGCUAGAUGCUGCUGCUCUAUGAGAUAUUAUAUAAAAGUAAACUAUUAACUAAUGGAGUGUAAGGAGAAGGGGUAAUAGUCUCCUUCUGGAGUAGUUCGUCCACCUUUGGUCCCCACCCUGCACUUGGCUGUGGCUCCUAAAAGCUGUCAGCAUGAGGCGGCAGCCACACCCUGGGAAUGGCUUCAACUGGCUGGCUAAUCUUCCCCUGCAUGUGGAAAAAAGGCGCCAGCGGAUUGAGCAAACAAGAUCAAUAGUGGGGUCCAAUGGUCAAGGAGGAGGUUUCUGCACAUGCUGUAGAAGUGAGGAGCAGAUGGGGCUUGUCAACCUGGGAAGGUAGCCCACCUAGAAGAAGGAAAACUAUGCUCCUAAUCCUCUGCUGCCUUGGGGGGGGAGGGUUGGGAGAAGAAAGACCCUACACAAAUCCGGAGUGGAGUCCCUAAGACAGCUGGAUGGCACCUUUUGCACCUUCUUCCGGCAACCAAGUUAGUGCCAAACGUAUUGUUCUGCUUUCCUUUGGACCACAUCAGAGAAGCUGAAGGUGGUCUGGUCGUCUGGGCAGUCCAGGACCUCCAUAUACACUGCCUAGGCUUGUGCCCCAGGGAUUUCACUUUGGUGCUGCUAACAGUGAUUUGACUCCAUCCCUGGAGGCACACUCCAUUGGUUUUCAAGGCAGAUGGAUGCCAACAAUAAUGACUUUGGCUCUCCCACCAUUGAACCUGAUGUGUUUCGACUCUAUGUGGUUCCAGCUUUAAGCACAAUCCCUAGAACGUAAUCCCCGUUUAAAUUCCAGGCUUACGGUAUCCGGGAAGAAACUACAGGUUUCUAGAUGGCUAAACCAGAAUGAACAGAUUACUUGCUGCAAAGCAGCUGUAAUACUGCUGGAUCACUUCUCUUUAUUCUAAAGAAGAAAGACAUUAAAUAAAGGAUAUUUAUGAGCUACUGAAUGGUAAGUAUCUUUCCUGCCUGAAGAAAAUAUUAAUGAAGCAGACAAAAUUUAAAAUUUGUUUCCCAGGACUAGGAAUUAGUUCACAGAGCAGAAGUACGGUAGAUAGGAGUAACAGGAAGUUUUAUCUCCUCCUCCCCCCCCCCAUGUGUCCACAUCAUCUAGACACACUGGCCCACAUUAUUUUACUUAGGUAUUUUGAGUAGUGGAUUAUUUAAUUUGCAGCAACUGACUUUUAACAGCCCAAGCCUCACAUCAACUCAGUCAAAAUCAUUUUGCAAGUGAAUGAUCCUUUGCUGGUGACAAAUCUUCUGAAAAGAAAACCCCAAACAACCCUCUGGUAACACAAGAUGCUCCAUUUCCUUAAAUUGCUAUAUAAUGUGUUACAAGGCUGAGGGCUACAGGCUUGAAAAAUUAUGGAGAACAUGAUAUAUGUGACUUGAAUCAUGUAUGUUCCCCCCUUUUCUAUUCUUUGUUUUAGGUAUAUUUAUUAUCACUGCAAAAAGGACCAACCAACUUAGCAUCCCCUAACAUCGAUUCCAGCUAAAUAUCUCUCUGAGAAGCCAACUGUCAAAUCAUCUCCCACAGCUCAAGAGGCAACGGUUUUCUUCUUUUGUUCCAUCCCCCUCUCCCCCACGUUUCUUUUCCACUGGCUAACUUUCAGCCUUCAGUUAGUAGAGUCAUAUCCAACUCCUUUAGCCUCAAACUAUAGUUCCAAAAAGGCAGUGAGAAAUCAAGAUCAGCUUCAGCUGGACCAAUGGAAAUCACACGAAACAUUAUGCUGUCACACAAUAUACUCCAAAUAUAUUAAAGUAGUAGUACCAUGGAGGUGCACACCUUAUAGUACCCAAUCUUUCAAUUUAUGCAAUGAACUGUAAUUAAAUGGCUAAAUACACAUUCCUACCAUGGUUUCCAUGUGUGAUAUAAACAUAACAGGUAAAAAGAAACAAUUGACAUGAAAUAUUCACCUGUUAAGGAACCCUCAGUUAAGGAGCACCACACCUCAAAACUCACAGGCAUUGUACUCAGUUGUAGCCUUCAACAUACCAAACUGAAUACAAAAGGCUAAGCAAAAAAAAAAGGAAUCACCUCCAACUUUCUCAUACACCCUGAGAUGCAAUCUACCAAGUCAUGGCUUUCAGUAGAGCCCUGUUUUAGGAUAUCACUUAUUAUGAGUCUCUAGUACACAGACAUCUUUCUUCUUCACUUGCCGAGUUCCAUUGCAUCAGAAUCUCUGGCUGUUCUAAAUGAAGUUACUGACUCAAACUUGUGUGCAUGAAAGGGUUAACCUGGUCCCUGAGCUCAAGUUACCAGUGUGAGUAUGGCUUAGCAGGUUCUGCUUCCUCCUCCAUUCUCAGUCUUUUUCUCCUUCAUGCAAGUGAAUUGACUCUCUCUAAAAUGAGAUUUUAUAGCCUGCAUCUUUGCUAAUCCAAAUACUGAAUGAUCUUUUUAUAAGGAAACC